GCCCGCCCCUCACUCGCUCAGCGGGCGCGGCUUUGGCGGCUCCGUGGUGCUGUUCGGCAGUGCCAGGUGGAAGGCACGGGCUGAGCGGUUUGGUACCGAAGGGUUUUGUUAACAGCCCAAUCCACCCGUGUGGACAGAUGGGUGUGAUAAUUUCACGGGGCGAAGGGACAUUGGGACGUUGGAGCGCGUCCAAAGAAGGGCAACAGAGCUGGGAAAGGGUCUGAAGCACAAGUCCCAUGAGGAUCAGCUGAGGGAGCUGGGAUUGUUCAUCCUGGAGAAAAGGAGGCUGGGGCUGCCUUUGUCAUUCCCUACAACUCCCUGACAGGAGGGUGAAGCCGUGUGCGGGUCGGGCUCUGCUCCUGGCUCACCUGCCACAGGGGGAGAGGACAUGGCCUCAAGAUGACAGCUGUGCUGAAACCAUUCCUUGGGAUUUCUCACCCGCUGGGUGAGAAAAACAGUGAUGCCUGAAGCCUUCAGGAGCCAUCCUGCAUGGUGCCUCCAAUGGAAAUCCUGCUUUAACAACUCAUACACUGAGAAGAGCACCAACAGCCACAACAGAUUGCAUUCCUGGUCCUCAAGGAAAGAAAAAAGAGAUAAUCCACAACAUUCUGCUAUAGAAAUGGCUCAUUCCCAGGCAUGGGGAAGCAUUUAUUUGAUCAAGCAGUACUAACACUUCUGUAGGAAGAGAAGAAACAGAACGUGUUUCCACACACGCACCAUCCCAGGAAACUGUCAAGUGCAAAUAAGCAGCAAGAUAAGGUAUUCCACAGUCACCUCACCAAUCUGUCCCCUGCACUGGAUUUUUUAACUUUAUAAAGACAUUUUGUAGAAAACUGUGUAAGAGAACAAGAAAUAUCAGGAGUAACAGGCACUUCUCAUUGUUAGGUAUUCCCCAACAUGAAAAAAUUGCUUCAUCAUUACUAAAUUUAUUCCACCUUUUUUUUUUUCCAUUUUGGAGAACUAAGAGUCUUCAGGAUCUGGCUUUUGUUCUUCACAGGAGGAGGCACUGAACAUGACUGACAUCAGGAGCAAUCCAUCCACUGAAAACUUAGAUAAAUGUGUGGGUCAGAACAUCUUCCUGCUGCUUGUUGUGGAGAGUUCCAAUGCCAACUGCUGGGGCUGGUAGAGGAGGUCUGCUCACAAGACGGAGCUGAAAUUUGAGUUGUGAAAAAAUAAUUAAUGAAGGACAGAAUCACAUCUCGAGGUCAUGUGAUGCCACAGUGAUAUCUGCUGUCAGAUAACUGGGCAGUCCCAGCUGGAAGUAAUGCAGGAAGUUAUCCCCCAUCUCCUAAAGACCAUGGCUCCAAGGACUUUGUAGUGCAUGAUCUGCCAGAACAAAUGGCACCUUGGCAUUCUCCUCCUACUCCCCUACUUGGGAUCUUUCAUUAUCCUGUCUACUUUGACUGAACACUAUAUGAAAUAAAGCUCCAGUCCUGCUCUUCACCAAUAGUGCUACAAAGAGCAGAAGUAGCUGAAAUUAGAACACACAUUUGGUUUAGGAAUCAAGAUUAGGUUCUUUGUUAAGCAAUUCAAGGAGAAUUUCAAACUUCAUUUUAAAGACUAAAACACCCUGGGGACAUCUUACCUUAAGCCCCAGCUGCUUUUCAAACCGUGGAGACACAAAGGACCAUGGACCCAUGUUCUGUGGCUCUUCCUGACUCCAGAUGAAGACUAAAGGAAGGAUAAGGGUACAUAACAAACAUUCAUAUUUAUCUUUUCAGCAGAGAAAGAAAAACAGUUUUUUGUUUUUGUAGCACCUCUAGUUUUUUUUUUUGUCUUGGCACUAUCUUUGAAAUGAAGGCAUGCCAGACUUAAUUCCCUUGCAGCUCAGAACUGAAUUCAAACCCAAAGUAUGUCCACCAUUAGGGUAUACUAUGUGUAUAUUCUACUUUUCCACUGCUGGUUUCAAAAGCUACUAAAAUAACUGGACUGCAAAGGCCAAUACAAAAAAUAUCUCAAAUGAUUUGCUCUGAUUUUCAGUGCUGCUUCUUGGAAGCUAACAAUAGCAGAGAAAAGAGUUCUUUUAACACAAGUGAUAAACAUUUCUGAAACAUCCCACUCCAGAAACACUUGGAUGUAUGAGGGGGAGAACAAAGAGGAAAAAGCCACUACAGCUCUUCAUCUUAAAAGGCAACAGAUUUAGUUCAGUACUUCAAAUAGACUAGAAACACAAAGGUAGAAGCUUGGCUGACCUUUUGCAUGGCUGUACUUGCUCAGCUCUUGCUGUAGAGCUUCCAGGGGGAAAGGACAGAGCUCUUCAAGUCUCAGAAUAGCUGUGCUGUGCUGCUUCUCUCCCAGUGUUUCUCUUUGCUUCAUCAGAGCAUAGUAAUGCUUUCCAGAACACAGGACCACUUGGGUGACACUAAAAAAAGUAAAAAAGAAUGUUUCCCAGUUUAGUGUUUUACAGAAACUUGAUUAAGAACAGCUGGAAGAACACUUCUAACCAAAAAAAAAACCAGUCAAACUUCAAAGACAACUUCACAGAGCUAAAUUGCUUCCCUAGACCAUCUUUUCUCUUCCUUGCCUUCCCUUCCCUCCCACUCCUUCCAACAGCUGGCAAACUAACCUUUGAGCACAGUAUGACAGAGGUCCUGUUUCUUCAGUAAUUUUGGGAAGGUUACCUUACAGUGGGAUUGAUCUCUUUUAGCUCUGACUAUUAAAAAUUAAACCCAGUCAAAGCUAGUCAUCUCUGCACUCCGUAGAAAAUAAUCCAGAGGGAGAGAAGUCCCUCCAGAGGACAAUUCUCUGCCAUGCCAAAGCAGGACUGCCUGCUGGAGAGACACUACACCCUCCUGCAGUCACAGAGGUCUUGGCUGCCUAAUCUUACUGGAAAAAGCAACGAGAUAAACUAUACCCUUUGUGCCUCACUAUCCCACUUAAAAAACCCAGCAUGCUAAGGUACUUCCAGCCUUUUGAUGGGGGUCAGGAAGUGAAGAGAAGGGAGGCUCAGUCUUGGGUACUACUGGGGCAAGCAGCAGAUAAGGGAAAAAAUAUUAAGGCUGAAUUGGUCGUUGUGAACAGGAUUCACUGUAACAUCUGAAAGUACAGAGAUGUACACACAUUUUGUUACAGCCCCACCUCAUCAGCUCAGGCAUUCCAGCACCAGAACAAAAAUUCUGGAUUCAUUUUUGGGCCAGUCAUGACAAGAAAGACAUUAAGGAGCUGGAGCCCAUCCAGAGAAGGGAAUGGAGCUGGUGAAGGGUCUGGAGCACAAGUCCUCUGAGAAGCAGCUGAGGGGCCUCAGCCUGGGGAAAAGGAAGCUCAGGAGGUGCCUUUUCACUCUCUGCAACUGCCUGACAGGUCACAGCCAGAUCAGAGUUUGUCUCUUCUCUCAGGUAACACACAAUAGGACAAGAGGAAUCAGCUUCAAGUUGCAUCAGAGGAGGUUUACAUUGGAUGUUAGGAAAAAUUUCUUCACUGAAAGGGUCAAGCACUUGAACAGGCCUCCCAGGGCAGUGGUGGAGUCACCAUCUUGGAGGUAUUUAAAUGUCUAGAUGUGACACUUGGGACAUGGGUUAGUGGUGGACUUGGCAGCACUGGGCUAAGACUGGAUUUGAUGAUUUAAAGGGUCUUUUCCGUCCUAAACAAAUCUAUGAUUCUAUGAUUUGUGUCACAGCUGCUCCAGUGGCUGUCAGCUAAUGGACAUGGUGCAAAAUAGGCCCCAUCAGGUUGGUAACUACAGUCACAGACUCUCUGUGAGGCCAAGGGGUGACAGCCUAAACACUUCACUGCUUUGCAGACAGAUGUGGUAACUACCAACAGUUACCCGAGGAAAAGGAGAAGAAGUAAAACUAACCACAGUCAUCUACCAUAAAACAUUUUCCCCUCAAAGUCACCUCUUUCAUAUCACCUCAAAUUUGAGCUGUUGGGUAGGAGAAAGGGACAGGACAUCUCUUUUGAGCUUCUCCUCUAAGAAAGCAAAGCUACCUUUUAGGAUUUACUGAGGAGUCACCAAUGACAGGCUUGAAUGUUGUCCCUGGGGCCAUUUCUUCAAAACUUGAUACAGCAGCCUACAUGGGGGAAGAGUUGGAAGUUACCAAAUCUUUCUGCUUCUCCCUCAGGCCAGAGUCAGAAAGAAUACUGAGACAGGGCUUGGUAAGUACAAAAUACACAGUUUCCCCUCUCCCUGGUAUUCCUAUUCCCAGAGAAAAGUGAGAUGAUAAGCUUCAGGCCACGAAUGAACCCUACUUUCAGCUCAUCUCCACCCAGCUUUAAUCCUCAACCUGUUUGGCCCCAAAGUGGCAAAAUUCCACUGAUUUAACCCCAAGACAGCAAUCAGAGAACGCAGAAGGAAAAAAAAGGGGGAAGACAACAAAAAAGAGGAUAAAGAGAAAAAAAUAAAGAGGAAGGACAUUUUUCAGCUUACUGGAAGCCUGAGUAACACUUUGGGAGAAGCAACAAUGAGAGGUUUCCUGAAGUUUCGGACCAUUUGCCUCCGGAGUAAAUGGAAAUACUGUGCAGGGGUGGUGGGAUGCACAACUGACAUGUUGACCUGGUCACCAUCAACACCCUCUUCUGAGCUGUCACACAUCUGUACAGGGGGAACACAGCAAUACCUUGUCAAAUGCAAGCAGUGAGACUAAUAUGCAAGAAAGAAUCCAGGCACAUGAUGCACACACAGGAACAGAUUAGUAAAUAUCCAAAUUCAAGAGAGGAACAACUUCAAAGAAAUGGGUUUAGCAUUUAACUGGUAAGAUUGUGCCUGAAGUGCCUCCUUGGAGCACGUUGCAGGCCAGCUCCCAGAGCACUGCCUGCCAGGGCUGUGCUGGGGAUGCUGACCCUGGGAGGUGUGAUGUACCUGGAGGAACCGUUCCAUCCGGCAGGACGAGUGCUCGGGGCCUGCACCAUCGUAGCCAUGGGGAAGAAGAAUUACUAUCCCACUCUGCAGAAGCCAUUUAGCCUCACCUAGAAACACAGAAUGAGGAGGAAGCAAAGGAUGAUUUCCACAGAAUGUAAAGCCACAGAACACAUUACUUUGCACAAACUGCUCAGGAAAAAGAAUAACCAAUAUCCACGUAAUUAAAUACAAGCCUGAAACAUGCUGCUGGCAUUUUGCCCUGAGGUUCUUUACAGUGAAAUAACACAUGUAAGGUGAUCUGAAGUUUCUGAAAUCAUCAGGUAGCUCUGGGCUCCCAGAAGAUUUAAGUCUCCACACAGAGCACAUGACACACUGAAAUUUUAAAGCUUCAUCUCUGCAAAUGUGAUCCCAGCAGCAUCCUGUGAGCCAGUCCUGUUUAACACAGCAGUGCUUGUUCCCCUGAGCUCUGCCAAACCUCCUGCACUAUGCAAGAGAUUACAAUCAAAUGCAGAAUUUGGGUGGGAUAAGAGGGCCUCUGAAUUUCCAUCUAUGACUACAGAGGUUUUAUAUCUGAGCACUCAGAAAACACGUUAGAAUCAAACUUAGUAAGGUGUUGUGGGCUUUUUUUGUUUGUUUCUUUUAAAUAAUUGCUAUUUUCCUUCUCUAUUGCUUAUGGAAUAUUUCAGAUGCUUCACAAAGGAAAGGUACAGCCUAUAAAGCUACCAACCAUAUAUACACAGACUAAAAUACAUGUAGGGGAAGAAAGGCUGUUAGUAUAAUUAAUUGCCCUUCUGUAGUGACUGUACUCUGCCAAGGAGUCUUUCAUUUUAGAUGUACUGUCUUUAGAGAAAAGCUGCACAGAAAUCAGGACCUCACAGGCAAGCUCACAGGACUCCUUGAGAAAACAGAAUUCUUUGCACAACAUGUUGCCCUUUUACUUGAAAGAGGAAGGAUUUUCUAAAAAUGUGUAUAAUACAAAUGAUUAAUUCUUAAAUAUAUUAGUUCCUUGUACACUUACCUCCAGAGAUAAAAGUGUCAAAUAUUAUCUGGGCUCCAUUAAAGAAGUCUCCAAACUGAGCUUCCCAAAUUGGCAGUAACUUAGGGCUCUCAAUACUCAUUCCAUAUUCAAAACCAAGCACAGCUUCUUCAGACAAGGGACUGUUACUCACCUAACAAAAGGAAAUUGUUGGGAGGGGUGGGUGAGGAAGAAGACAAUCAAGGGCUAAGAAGCAUUGGAACCAGGCAAUCAGUGCUGAGGACACACACUCCUAAAGGCAAUUGAUAGGCACUGAUUUUUUGCUUCUGAAUAAAGGCACUGAGAGAAAAGAAUAACAUUUGCUCUCUCAAGGAAAAGCAAACCCCCUUGUUAAAGUUGUAAUUUAUAAUGACAAAGAACAGGGAUGCCCUGACAAUUUUUAUGUCCCUGUAUCUGGGUUUUGCCAGAACAUACACUAGGCCUACAUAUGUCUCAGCAGCUUUAAAAAAUGCAUUGUUUCAGCACAAUUUGAGGAAGGUGGUCUUGUGGGCUACAGAACCUACCUCUAGGAAACCCUUCUGGUCUGGGGACAUGUGAUUCAGAGGAAUGUAGGUGUCAUCUGUCUCUUGGCAAACCAACAUCGCGUGCCGUUGGCUGAAGGUUCCUCUGCCAACAUCUUGUCCACUUAGUCUGAUAUUAAACCCUUGCCAAGCAAUAAACACAACACCAGAUCAGCAAGUUAUGUAAAAAGAAAACAUGCAGGACAUAAUUCUACCUCUUGUUAUAUCUCUUUCUGGAUUUCCCCUCAUCAGCAACAUCAAAUCUGAGAUGCAAUUCUGAACCAGCAACAGCUCCAACUGUCAAGGACACAGAUGCUCUGACAUUAUUUUGGGUGAAAUGGUUCAAUUUACUGAAGCAAACUGCAAAAAAAUGUGCAUUCUGUAUCAUAUGUAAAUAGAUAUUUGAAUUCAGGCUAGAGAGGAGGGAGAAGAAAUAGUAGCAUAAAGCACACAAAGUACUUGGGAGCCACACUGAUGUCAGCUGCACUGCUUGUGCUCAGCUCUAUGCACAAAUGUUUUUGGGAAGUGAGAGGAAGCUACAGUUCUUUGAAGAUAUUUAAGACUUAGUCUACAAAUAUUAGUGACACAUAGGAUUCAUAUUUAUCUUCUCUUAGACCAUGCAAAUUGUCAAAUUUAUAAAUCACAGCAAUUUUUACUUAGAAACACCUAAGAAAUCUAAUGUUUGACAUUAGAUUAUUAUUGACAUUAAAGACAAAAUUACUGACAAUAAAGCAAAAAUAUUUUACUGUCUGCUGUCUAGUUGCCUCUUACCUUGGCUCAGCAGAGAACCAAAUGCUAAAGCUUCAGCUGUUGCCCAGUCCAGCUUUUUUCCUUCCUCCAUUUUUUGAAUUCUUGACUAAGCAAAUAAAGAAGAAGAAAAAAUUACUAUUUUGUCUUUUUCCAUCUGUAGCUUUUUUGGUGGCACAGACUAAUAUUAGAAGCUAGGAAAAAAAGCAACACACUACGGAGGGAAAUGCUUUAUUCCUGCAGCCAGCUUAGGCUGCAUUAGAAUAGAGUCUUAUUUAAUAACAUCCUAAAGAAGGACCACAGAACCAUAGGUGAUCCUAUGGUGAACCAUGUGUUCACCUUCCAGUCAACAAACUGUGGAUUAAUUAAUCCUACUCAGAAAAUAUUAAAAAAUCUUAGCACAGCACAGAGUGUAAUCUUGACAGACUUCUGGUCUGUCUGGUUAGCAGUGAUGAAAGAUACCAGGUGUAAGUAUUUCAGUCUCCAGAACUCUUCCCUGUUCUGGCCUGCAGAACUGCAGACAAAUGAUCAAACUGAGCUGUGCAGUUCUUGCCUUGGGCUGGGAAGACAAAAACAUCAGUCUUUUGAAAUACUCAACUCACAGCCUCUCUCUGGCUGCCAGGCAGACACCUGCACACACUCAUCAUCCAUCAAAGGGAAACGUUCACAAACCCCAAACUGAUCCAAACCAAACAUCAACUUAGGAGCUAUCAAACCCAGACUGUCAAACUAGGCCACAUGUUGUGUAGUGUUUAUAUAUAUAUAUAUAUAUAAAAGUUAUAAAACACUCACUACUGGCUUUAGAACCUGUGUACACUAUUGACAGGUUCCUGAGUCAUUCCUUUACCAAGUACUCAUUCUAAUUACCAACUAUAUAAAUGUUAGUAACUUAUCAUAAUAGUUUCUUUCUAUUUGUAAGAAUAAUAAACUGUGGUUUUAUAAGUUUUUUUCUUCAUUGCAAUAAAAUAUUGUUGAAAUAACAAACUAAUGUACAUGGUCAGACCUGGGUGAAGAAGUCUUUCUUCAAAACUGGAGGAAAAAUGGCAUCAUCUCAGCCUUGAAGCAGAGUGAGCUGUUUUUCCUAGAGAAUACCAUGCUAUUCUCUAACUGGCAACCCUGCUGUGUUUACACUUAUUCCUGUAACAGGUUUGAGCCAUGGGGAUCUGCAGUAUCAUGAUGCUCUACUCACCUGAGCAUAGGUCUUCAGGAGAUGGCUGUGCAUCUGCAGCUCUUGGGGCACCUCCACAGACUUGGCUCCAAUGAACUGCAGCAGAGGCACAGGCAUGCCCGUGUCCCAGGUGCUGAUGGUGGCAGAAGGCUCCACGAAGCCUUUCCAGUGAGCCUGCAGGUUGGUAGGGGGUGGGCUGUACGAACUCACGUUGGCAAGGUGAUCGUUCAGCUUGGAAUAGCACGUGGUCUUUAUCUCAGACACUUCAGCCUCAGUCAU